rnacentral:misc_RNA from 1 species
UAAUUAGCAAAAUGAUAAUCUGAUCUCAAUUUUUUUUUUCUUUCUGCAGAAUCCAUUUGCUUAAAAUAGAACCAAUUGCAAAGCACAAAUCCAGAGAUCUCACAUUAUUAGCUCUCUUAAUCCAAAUCUAUGGGGAUUCAAAACAUUCUUACCAUAGAAAAUACUAGAGGAGAAGAAACAUGCGUUAGUAUUAUGGUUUUACAAAUUUUUACAUCAGUUUGCAAUCAAACAUUUCUUGAGCUUAUAAUUCAACUCUUUGACUGCACCCCUUGAGCUGCUAAGUAUGCUGUCCAAUAGUAUGUAUGAGGAGCAAGCCGCCAAGACCCUGGUGAUUGUUUAGUUUUUAGCAUUUAUAUUUGUAUUUUGUUUGCUACAUUCAUAUCAAUUAUCAACUAGGCUGCGAUUCUAAUGUGCUGCAGAAUCCUACACAGACAAACAAGAUGACAAGUGAGAACAUCUCAGAAUAUAGGAAAGCCCAAAUAGUAAUGAGGAGUUCCAUUGCAAACACAAGUCAUUGCGCAUGGUAACUGUGGUAGACGCAUUGGAUGCUGUAAUAGUUGCCAGAAUGAACCAUAAUCAGGAAUAUGCUAUGUAAUAUCGAAGCCAAGCACAAGAACACAAUUCAAAUAGUUUCUUGAAACACAAUUAAGAGAUCACAAGGCAUGAGAAGAAGAAUAUCAUUAUGGAAUAGUUUCUUGAAACACAAUUAAGAGAUCACAAGGCAUGAGAAGAAGAAUAUCAUUAUGGAAUAGUUUCUUGAAACACAAUUAAGAGAUCACAAGGCAUGAGAAUAAGAAUAUCAUUAUGGAAUUCUAGAAAAAAAAAAUCAUGCAAUUCAUUUGUAUUUUGUUCCAUGCAAUAAAAUUAAGUUCAAUGUUCUAAACAUGAAAUGGUAAAAGUGUGCGAAAACUGUUGGACCCACUUCUAAACAAAAAGGAUAAAAGAAAAGAAAAAGGGAAAACUCUUAUGCUUGAAAAACCGUAACGGUUAUGGUUAGGAUGUCCAACAUAAGCACGUGGCUUGCUUAUAAGGUUUGCAGCUCAAGUCAGGACAAAGGCAAGUUCUUUAUACUUAGAUGACAAACUUUAUUGCUAAAAAACUGGCAAAAUGGUUAAACAGCAUCACAUUGCAAGGUUAUAUGGAUAAGCAUACCUAUUUGUUCCCUUCUCGGCAUGGUAUCAUUUAACUUGAGAAUUGAGACUUCGCAGCUUGAAGCAUUUCCACAACUAGAGUCUUCACAUCCUUUCUCUCUUCUGCACGUCUAGGAAAAGGAAUCCGAAGCUUGUAAGUAUUUCCUUGAUAAGCAGCCUAGAAGAAGAAAUGUGAAGUCAAAACAUUAAAUAGAGGGGAAGAGGAACAGUUAAUCUUGAGUUCAGAAAAUACCUAAAUGACAAAGUAGUGGCAUAGUGAAACAGUCUCGAAAAAAGUUAAUCUCAAAUUAUGCCCGUUAUUAAAGAAGAAAAUACAUAAGCUUAACGUUGAAUCCAAGACUAUCAGUGUCUAGCAUGUAGGCAGAGUCCACCGCAAUUGAUGUUGAAUGUUGGACAAUGAGCCUUGUAUCUUCAGCAUGAUCUCUAUUCAUAUGAGAUGCAAUGGGUUUAGAAAACUGAGCUAUUGGAUCAAUUUUAGCAGCCUGAUAUUCUUCUUUGCUAAAUUCUCCUGAUCCAUGUAAAGCAGUUGCAACUCCUGACACAUAUCGCACAACUUUUGGUUCAAUGCGAAUGAAUUGGAAGUCACCAAAGUCAACCCAUGAUGCAUUGGGAUGCUUUGCCAGAUAUGCAGUUCGAAUGGUACUUCUAUCCUUCUCAGAAACAGAAACAGCAUCACCCUGCAGGGCGAUUACCAAAUCAGUCCUAUCCUCCAGAUCUUUAGCAACAAGCAAUGAGCAUCUGGGAUUAGCUAAGAGGUCCUUUGCAUGAUUUGCCAAGCUGCUCACUGCUAAUAUCAAAGUUCCAUCGACAUCACAUGCGAAAUCAACCAUUGACGCCGAUGGAUAACCCACAAGCUUCUGAGAAAAAGUUGAAAGCACGCCUCGCGCACUGUAAUAAAGCACAGUUCUAAUUUCCUCAACCGGAGGAAGUCGAGCAGCCUUUUCCUGGUGAGUUUGUAUCAACUGAAACACAUUGGCGUCACUAUUAACAUCCCCAGGUGACACAGCCUGAGUGGAUGGCGGAGUUACAGAGGCCAUGGAAGGAGAGCGACGAUGACUGGGAGUCUGCGAGAGAAAAAGGGGUGGCAAAAUGGUAAUAAGGGAAGAGAAAGGUGGGUUUUGCUGACAUUUACGCAGGUAAAAAUAGGGAAUGAGAACGACACCACCACACCAUAGUCCUCAUUUUUUUUCCAAUUCCACCCUUUUUUUCCAAUAUUUACGCCAAGUUAUCCUUUUUCAGCAAAUUUUCUAACUUCUGAAGGUUUGAAAAUGGAGCAGAUUUUUCAAUUAAUAUAUUCAUAAUGGUGAUAUUUAAUAAUUGUUCAAUUAAUAAGUUUCCAUUUUUUUUAGUCCGAAAAUGGUUAUCAAUAUCCCGAACAGCAGUAGGACAAUACGACCCCAAAGGCAAACACUUAAAACAAGUUUGAUCGAUACACAAACAAACAAACAAAAAGAUUCCAGCUUCUCAAGAAUGCAGUAUCUGAAAUCCAAAUCCAAUACAAUCCCAUCUCUUUACAUGAUCAAUAAACAUCGUUUAAUUUCCCUUCUCAGAUAAUUCCCAUUGAUAAUAAUAAGAUUUACAAAUACAAGAAAAUAAAUAGGUAUCUGAAAAAAUUGAUGCAAGAACUCAAUCGGAGUGGGAAUCAUCGUCGUCGUCGUUGAAAUCGAAAUCGGACAGAUUGGCAGGGUUGGGAUUGUAGCAGAGAUAGUUCCAGAGAUAGAGAGCGAGACGACCCAAAUGGUGGAGAGGAAAGCAGAAGAGCAAAUUCAAGACUUGGUCGCUGCUUAGCCGCUCUGGAUUGCAUGCUAUGUAUUGGCAUAGAUUAGCUGAUACAUUGGCAACGGUCACAACCAGACUGCUGUUUAAAACCAUCUCUCUCCGACUCUCUUCCUGUUUGGUUUCUCUGUUGGCUGUUUUGUUGGGUUUUGGAAGCAAUCGUUGA